ensembl:lncRNA
CAAGAAGGUCAGGGAGCCUAACUCAAGCCCUGAGCUCUGCCCAGCCCACACCUCUCAGGGCAGGAGGCCAUCUGGGUUAUUGAGGUGCUAGCAGGUUCUAGCAACAGGAGGCAGCUGAUGGGGGUGUGUCCUCCUUGCCCCCGGAGUCGGAGAUGUGGGAAAGUUGCGGGCUGGAUCUGGGAGGCACCAGGUCAUGUGAGGCAGAGAAAACCAGGAGGCCAGGCCACUGGGCACAGCUGCCAGUGCCUUAGACCAGAACUGGUGCCCUUCCUCCCUUUUCUUCUUUCCUCCUCCCUCCCUCCCUUCCUUCCCUGCUUAUUGGCAGUGUUCAUCUGUGCAACGUACUAGGAGUAUACAGAAUAUGUAUUCCUAGUAUGAGGAAUAGUCCUAAUCCUACUGUAACGGAUUGUGUGUGACUUCUGGGAGAUUACAGACGAACGGGGAGACAGACAGACUAAAGUAUGGCUUGCCAAGCGGUGCCAUGUCCACACCCGGGAUCUAAACCGGCGAACCCUGGGCCGUCAAGAAGAGGAACGUGCGAACUUAACCACUGCGCCACCGGGCCGGCCCCUAAAAGCCGCCACUCUUAUUCUUCCCACUACUGCUGCUGUCUGCGUAGAUGCCCCUGUCCCUCACCAGACUCAGGAUCCUUGAGGGCAGGGACCAGCCCCUAGCGUAGGGGCUGUAACAAGACCGGCAUCCAGUGAUUGUGGAAGUGAACCGCAUCGACUUGCUCGUGGACCCAGAUAGAAUCGACCUGUAGGCAGACUCGCCUCCUCGGUCAUCUCUCCACCCCUGCCCAAAGGAGCAGCCUUUGGUUUUAGAUACCCGAAAUUCUUCCGGAACGUCAGUUUGGCCUUCCUGGUUCAUCACUGUCGUUUUGGCAUUUCCUUGGUGCUCCUUCUAAAGGCUCCUGACCCCUCGGGACAAACACGCCACUUCAGUUUGCGCCACUUCUGAUGGAUUGGUAGUGGUUCUCCUAGAAUAUCAUGAUGAUAAGGAUUCUGUAGACGACAGGGGGCUGCUCAGAAGAAAGAGCAUUAAGAUGGCUUAGCAAUGUCUGCCUUGCGGGAGGAAGGGCUCCUCUGCCUUAAUGUGAAGAGGUAGUUUGUUGAAUGCUUUUCCUACAUUAAGCCAAGACUGAGAGUGUGGGCUUUUGCCUCUGGCGGACGCUCAGGGAAGGUGAGGAGAAGAGUAGCCGAGGGCUCCAAAGUGUUGACGCUGUUUCCUUUGAAUCCACUGUUUCAAUGCAGAGACGCCUAAUUCCACGGCGAUGGAGGUGCCCACCUAGAAUGAAAGGAGCUUGGAUGCUUCUGAAGGAGGGAGACCUCACAACCUCAUUCUGGAAACGGGCACAUGUGGCCCAGUGGGCAGGUGUGAGGGGCCCACUGUAAAACUGGAGUUUCCUGGAUGAAAUUCUGCAUGGAAUGUAAUGUUUUUUAAAGAAUGAGUUAUAAAAAUAUAUCGAUUUGAAGUUUACGUAUCUUUUAUUGAAAGCCAAUGGUAACCACAGCAUUUGUUCAGCUGUAGAACUUAGACCAAUAAAAUAUGUUU